UGUCCCAGACCAGGGUAAAGUGGCUUCUGGUUAGUGGUGCCCAUCUCAUAACGGCAGGGACAAAGCAACCCCUUGUUUAUCCCAGCUUGGCAUUUGUUCAGUGCCCAUGCCUGGUUUGUGCCUUGGACACAUGA